CCCAGUUGGCCAACACCCACGGGACCCAGUUGACCAACGUCCACAGAACCCUGUUGACCAACACCCAUGGGAUCCCGUUGACCAAAACCCAUAGGAUUCCGUUGACCAACACCAAUGGGACCCAGUUGACCAACAUCCCGAGGAUCCUAUUGACCAGUGUCCAUAGAACCCAGCUGGCCAACAUCUAUAGGACCCAUUGACCCCAAGCAACCAGUUGAUGAUGUCCAAGGGACCCAGUUGACCAACACCCAUGGGACCCCACUGACCAACGUCCACAGAACCCUGUUGACCAACGUCCCGAGGACCCCGUUGACCAACACCCAUGGGAUCCCGUUGACCAAAACCCCCAGGACCCCAUUGACCAACACCCAUGGAACCCAGUUGACCAACGUCCCGAGGACCCCGUUGACCAACACCCAUAGGAACCCAGUUGGCCAACACCCACGGGACCCAUUGACCAACACCCAUGGGAUCCCAUUGACCAACGUCCCGAGGACCCCGUUAACCAACACCCAUGGGAUCCCGUUGACCAACACCUACGGGACCCCGUUGACCAACACCCACGGGCACCCAGUUGGCCAACACCCACAGCACCUCAUUGACCAGUACCCACACAACCCCAUUGACCAACGUCCCCGGCACCCCGUUGACGCCACCCCCGGACCCCGUGCGGGGUGGGGGGGGGGGGGUGGGGGGGGGGUCAGCAGCGCCGCGUGGUGUGGGGGUAGCGGAGGCGCAGCUCGUGGCGGAAGCGGCGGUAGAGCUGCCGGUUGUGGCUCAGCUCGGCCUCGCGCGCCCCGUGGAAGCCGCCGGCCUCCUUGAAGCCGCGGUGGACGACGAAGGCCCCGUCCAGCACCGCGAAGCGGAACCCGGCCAUGUGCAGCUCGCAGGCCUGUUAGGGGGGGACAGGGGGGGGACACCGUCACCCCACAGCACCCCAUAGUGCCCCACGGGACAUCCUGACACCCCCCGGGACCCCUGACGCCCCACAGAGCCCCACAUCGCCCCUACAGCACCCACAGGUCCCUACAGCACCCAUAAGCCCCAUGGACGUCUUGCCCACCCAUGGGACCUGUGGCCACCCCACAACCUCCACGGCCACCCCAUAAGCUUCAUGGCCACACCAUAACCUCCAUGGCCAUCCUACAAACCCCAUGGCCACCCCACAACCCCCAUGGCCACCCCAUAAGCUUCAUGGCCACCCCAUAACCUCCAUGGCCAUCCUACAAACCCCAUGGCCACCCCAUAACCCCAGGGCCACCCCACAGCACCCAUAGCCCCCAUGGUGACCCAGCAACCCCAAGGCCACCCCACAACCCCCACGGCCACCCAAAUGACCCACAUCCUCCCUGACCACCCCAAAUCCCCACUGGCCACCCCAAAUCCCCCCCUGGCCAACCCAAACCACUCCUGGCCACCCCAAAUCCCUCCCAGCCACCCCACAUCCCCCACGGCCACCCAAAUGACCCACAUCCUCUGUGACCACCCCCACCCACCCCGUCCACCCCAAAUACCUCCCAGACACCCCAAAACCUCCAUGGCCACUCCACAUCCUCCACGGCCACCCAAAUGACCUACAGCCCCCUUUGACCACCCCAAAUCCUCCCCUGACCACCCCAAAUCCCCACUGCCCACCCCAAAACCACACUGGCCCCCCCAAAACCCCCCCCCGCCCACCCCAACCCCCCCCCGCCCCCCCCAACCCCCCCCCCCCCCCCGGUCACCUGGCUGAUGCGGUUGAAGCCGUACUGCACGAAGCGCUCGUCGAAGGGGGGCACGGCGUGGGCCGGCCCCACGUAGAAGGGCUCCCAGGGGUCCCGCC
rnacentral:lncRNA from 1 species